rnacentral:rRNA from 1 species
UACAGAGGGUGCAAGCGUUGUUCGGAAUCAUUGGGCGUAAAGGGCGCGUAGGCGGCCAGGUAAGUCGAAUGUGAAAGCCCAGGGCUCAACCUUGGAAGUGCAUCCGAUACUGCUUGGCUUGAAUCUCGGAGAGGGUGGUGGAAUUCCCAGUGUAGAGGUGAAAUUCGUAGAUAUUGGGAGGAACACCGGUGGCGAAGGCGACCGCCUGGACGAAGAUUGACGCUGAGGCGCGAGAGCGUGGGGAGCAAACAGG